rnacentral:rRNA from 1 species
UACGAAGGGGGCUAGCGUUGUUCGGAAUUACUGGGCGUAAAGCGCACGUAGGCGGAAUGUUAAGUCAGGGGUGAAAUCCCGGGGCUCAACCCCGGAACUGCCUUUGAUACUGGCAUUCUCGAGUCCGGAAGAGGUGAGUGGAAUUCCGAGUGUAGAGGUGAAAUUCGUAGAUAUUCGGAGGAACACCAGUGGCGAAGGCGGCUCACUGGUCCGGUACUGACGCUGAGGUGCGAAAGCGUGGGGAGCAAACAGG